rnacentral:rRNA from 1 species
UGCGGUGGUUAUAGCAAGAGGGAAACGCCCGGUUCCAUCCCGAACCCGGAAGCUAAGACUCUUUGCGCCGAUGGUACUGCACUGGGGACGGUGUGGGAGAGUAGGUCGCCGCCGGUU